UGGUGUGUACUUGGGAAGUUUUGUUUGUUUACGUCCGAAGACAACAUUGUCCUAAACAUGCCGACUUAUGAAAUGCCAUUAUUAAUUAAAGCACUUAGUCGGCCAGAAACAUUUGUUGUACUGAAACGUGCAAGUCAAACAAUAUUUGAUAAAGGUGGUGUCAUACGAAAGAUUGAAAAUCUUGGGACACGCCAGUUACCUUUCAAAAUUAGAAAGCAUGGUCUUGUUGAGAAAAAAGCCAGUUACUUUUUGAUUGAGUUUGACACUUCACCAAAAACAAUAGACUACUUGAUUGACGAAUUUCACAGAGAUGUAGAUGUCCUGCGUUCCAGGAUUUACAGGUCACAUGAAAAAGAAGAGUUUGAGUGCACAUUUGAAGAGGAGUGCCUGCCUGCAGCAUACAGGAAAGAUGUUCAGAAGUUGUUAGAAAUAGCAAAAAAAGAUGCAAAACCAAAGUUCAAACCAAAUACGUCUCUGGAUUACUAUCCAUUCAACAAGUAGUGGAUGUUGCCUCAACAAGUCCUGUUUUCCUGACAGUGUUCAUAAUACCUAAAUUUCGGGCACUGUAUGAUGAAAUUCUGGAAGAAACAUGAGAAUUUAGCAGCAGUUCUGUGAUAUAUUUCCACUGUUUCGUCAUUGGACAUCAACUUUUAAGAAAAAGAAAAAAAUGUAAUUCCAAAAAUAUUAGUGGUUUUGGACGAUGCUCGCAUUGUUUGUAAAGUGUCUACUCUAAUGGAUUAACCACAUUUAGAAGUCAUCAACUGAUAAUUUUUGUCAAAAAAAAACUGGUGUGCUUUCAGGCAAUGAAAUGACAUUAUAUUGUCCAGUACGUUAUUUUAUUUUAUUUUCAUUUGUUAAUUAGGUAUAACUGUAAUUUGAACUUGAGUGUGUUUGGCAGAGCCGCCAUCACUUGAAAGUCACGUAAUUUAUGUAACAUGCAGAAAUAGUGAGAAAUUUAAAAUCAAGUGUAUGCUCAAAAUAUUCCAAAGAAAAAUAGUGUCGUACUUAUGGCAGGAAAUACAAGAAAAGCUCUAAUUAAAACUUGUUUAUUAAUUGUUGGAUUCUACUUAAAUUUAAUGUACACUGUUUGGUUGUAAUUACCUACAUACUUCUGGAAACAGUUUACAUUAAUUAAUUUGUUGAAUCAAACUGAUGAAAUUUCAAUAAUAUAUUGUAAAAGUGACUUAGGAGUCUGUAUGAUGAAAUAUGUUGAGUGAUACUGUUUUCAGUUAUUCAGAAGUUUAUAUGAAUAUCACUGAUUGUGAACAAGAUAUUAAAUUAAUCAAGAAGAGUCAGUUGAAAAUAAUGUUUAGUGUAAGUGCGAUAGGUGGUCAUGCUACCGUUACUGUAAGUUAAUUUGCUUUUUGUUUCAAUAAAUAUUUGAAUAUUCAUAA